GGGUUGCUGGGUGAGCUUUGGUCAUCCAUAUUAAGUGGCUGUUUAAUGGAGCAAACAGCAUCCAUUGACAAUGUUAAGGGGUGCGAGGGAGGUGGAUGGCGAUUUCCGUGUCAGACUGGGGGAACUGGAAUGAAGCUCAGGGAUUACUCCCUCAGACAUUUUCAUAGAGAAGGCAAAUUGAAAAGGGAAGAAAAAAUCCUGGCAAACAAUUCAUGUUUGUCACCUGGUUUUCUCUCACUGGGGCUGCAUUUCCUUAUCAGCUGUGUGCAGUUUUUCCGCAGUUUUUUCUUUUGUUUUUCACCUCAGCUCUAAAGCCUGCCACGGCUGCUCUGAGCCCUUUUUCCCUGAAAGCCUGCGGCGGGGUUAAGCUAGGAACCAUUAGUGCUUGGCUUUAACCCCUGUGAACUUCAUGUGUUUCACCACCUGAGGAGGAACUUGUGCUGAUCUUUUCCUGGGUCACACGUGGGCGGAUUCUCACAGAAGAUCAGGGGUUGCUGUCUAAUGUGAGGACACGUUUUAGGGAGAUUAAGCCAAGUUACUUCAUGGGUGAUCUGAACUACUGGGAGCAGGUUUGAUUGAACACAGUCUGACUGCUGCAGGAAGGAAGGACCUCCUUCAAACAUUGUGGGUGAAGCAGUCUGUCCCUGAAGGAGCUGCCGGUGAUGGUCCUGUUUCCUGCAGGGGGUGGGAGAUGUCCUCCAUGAUAGACAACAGCUUUGUCAUCAUCCUCCUGUCUAACACCAGCCCAGGACAGAGCUUGCUUUCUUAACCAGUUUCUUUAGUCUCUUCCUGUCUGCAGCCGUGAUGCUGCUGCUCCAGCAGACCACUCCAUACAGGAUGGCUGAUACCACCACACAACCAUAAAAGGUCCUCAGAAUUGCUCCCUGCACCCCGAAGGACCUCAGUUUCCUGAGCAGGUGAAGUCUGUUCUGACCUGUCUUACACCGUGCGUUGGUGUUCUAUCUCUAGACAUGUUUGAAUGUCUUUAUCAAUAAAUGGUCAAACACA